rnacentral:rRNA from 1 species
GACGCUACGGGAGGCUAACACAUGCACGCCGAGCGGUAGAGUCUCUUCGGAGACUUGAGAGCGGCGCACGGGUGCGGAACACGUGUGCAACCUGCCUUUAUCUGGGGGAUAGCCUUUCGAAAGGAAGAUUAAUACCCCAUAAUAUAUCUUGAAUGGCAUCAUNCUGGUAUUGAAAACUCCGGUGGAUAGAGAUGGGCACGCGCAAGAUUAGAUAGUUGGUGAGGUAACGGCUCACCAAGUCAGCGAUCUUUAGGGGGCCUGAGAGGGUGAUCCCCCACACUGGUACUGAGACACGGACCAGACUCCUACGGGAGGCAGCAGUGAGGAAUAUUGGACAAUGGGUGAGAGCCUGAUCCAGCCAUCCCGCGUGAAGGACGACGGCCCUAUGGGUUGUAAACUUCUUUUGUAUAGGGAUAAACCUAGAUACGUGUAUCUAGCUGAAGGUACUAUACGAAUAAGCACCGGCUAACUCCGUGCCAGCAGCCGCGGUAAUACGGAGGGUGCAAGCGUUAUCCGGAUUUAUUGGGUUUAAAGGGUCCGUAGGCNGAUCUGUAAGUCAGUGGUGAAAUCUCACAGCUUAACUGUGAAACUGCCAUUGAUACUGCAAGUCUUGAGUGUUGUUGAAGUAGCUGGAAUAAGUAGUGUAGCGGUGAAAUGCAUAGAUAUUACUUAGAACACC